GUUUAAUGUCUUCCCUCUAACUUCCAUCCCAUGAUAUUUUGAAGGAACCACACUACUUCUCUUCUUCUCUUGAAUCAUGGCCUUGUACAAUAUUUAUUUGACUAGUAAUAAGAGUAUAUUUGUUGGUCUUUUUUAGUAAUGCUAUUGCUGCUCGAAUGGCUAGAUCCCAGUCUCAAGACCAGGAACUGGCAUCGACAUCGACGAACUCAGAACCUACAGAAAAUGGAACUCCAAACGACAGCUUAACAGGAGACGUUGUAGACAGUGGACAAGAAAGACGACCAUCAUCGAAUUCUUUUGAAGACGAAUAAGCAAGAAGUUCAGUUUCAGAGCUCGAACCGCAAACUUCACCGUUCCGUACACAUUCACCAAAAGUCACACACAAAAAGCUCAGCGUUAAACUUUCUCCUAAGGAAUCCCUUACACUAAGGCCAACAAAGCAAGGUUAUCUAGAUAAACUGAGCGGUGGUAAACAUAAAGCUCCUAAAUGGGACAACAGAUACUUUGAGCUUGCAGAAGGAGGUCACCUCCACUACUACAAGAAAGCACAAGGAAAGAUUAUGAACACUAUCUAUUUAUGAGGACGGUCCUGUGAUCUUUGAUGAACAGGAUUCUACCAUAAUUCGUAUUAAAACAGACGAUCGUGAAUGGAGUCUAAAGGCUGCAACUAUCGAUGAAGCAAAAGACUGGAAAGAAAGUCUUGACUUCUACGCCAAGAAAACGUCUGUAUCUGUGUAGAUGAACUAGCUAGAAAUUAUGAUUAUUAUACUUGAAUGGGUGCAUCAGUGACAGAAACGCUUAGAAUAACAACUAAGGGUUAUAAUAUUAAUUGCUUAGUUGCUAACUGUGCAAUUCCGCUACCUCAUGAAUGUAAGCUGAAAUGACAAUUCACGGAUUUUUACGAUUACGUUUGUGUUUGCGUCUUUGUCAUUAGUGCACUCAUCAAUAAUAUGGACAACCAAUUGGUGUAACCUGUUAUGCGCAUUAACUUUAAAAUUAGCNGAACAAAUGCAUUUUGUAUUACCGGCAUAUAUUCAAUACAUUUUCAUUUUCCCAAAGACUUGAUACAAGUUCUUUGUGGAAAAGUGAGAAUUUGUUGGAAUUGAUAAUAUACAAGACUUUACUAAAGGAAGGCGAAUGUUGCUCGCAAUAACCUUAACUUACUCAAUAUGUUUUAUUGUUGCAAAAAGCAACUCAACUUGGUGUAAAUGGAAGAGUUUUCUUCAUGAGGAUCCCCGAGGGGGGGAUGACUCNCUUAUAAAAAAGGGUGGGGUCCUCGUCGGAAAUUCUGAAAAUGACUCCUAAAAGGGACCUUUAUUUUGAGAUGAUGGGCGUGGCAGCAUUGAAAUUUCACCCCAAAGAGGGAUCGGUUAUUUUGUCUUGGUUUCCCGAUUUCAUUUGUGUUUUUGCACAAGCAUCAAACGCCGUUGGCUCGUAUUGAGUUUAUGAGGACGUUGUUAUAUACAAAGAUAUGAUGACGGCUCAGGGUCGUCGUAUACCCUAAAAGGGACCAACCACAAAACUCAUUUGGUGGGGAUUCUCGUCAUUAUCACCCUAUUAGUGAGCGGGACCAAAACUUGACUGACUUCAAACCCUAAAAGAAACGACGAGGACCUCNGCCCUCUUUUAUUAGGGAGUACCCCCCCGGGUACGGAACAACUUUCACCCUAAAACUGAAUCGUGAUGUAAGUGGUAUGCAAUAGAGCAAGCGCAGGAAAACCAUGAAAUAAAAUCAAACUAAAUACUAACAAAUAGCGACUAUUUAGAGACAAAUUGUCAGUAUCAAUGAACCAGAAUGCAAUAAAAAUGUUCCCAUGUGGAUUCAUCUUCAUUGUGUUCUGGUUCAAUGAUCUGACAAAUUGUCACUAAAUAGCGGCAAUUUGUUAGUAUUUAGUUUGAUUUAGUUUCAUGGUUUUCCUGCAUUUGCUCUAAGCUGCACUUAUUUGUUACGAGAUUAGUUCUCGGAGCUAAUAAAGUGUGAAUAUAUAUUGGAAUUAUGAUAUCCAUUUUUUUUGGGUCAAAUGUGUAGUUUUGAUUGUGUAUAUUGUUUCGUUAAUUGUUA
rnacentral:lncRNA from 1 species